UACGGGGGGAGCAAGCGUUGUUCGGAUUCAUUGGGCGUAAAGGGUGUGUAGGUGGCGCCGUAAGUCGGGUGUGAAAUUUCGGAGCUUAACUCCGAAACUGCAUUCGAUACUGCGGUGCUUGAGGACUGGAGAGGAGACUGGAAUUCAUGGUGUAGCAGUGAAAUGCGUAGAGAUCAUGAGGAAGACCAGUGGCGAAGGCGGGUCUCUGGACAGUUCCUGACACUGAGACACGAAGGCCAGGGAGCAAACGGG
rnacentral:rRNA from 1 species